rnacentral:tRNA from 1 species
GACGAGGUGGCCGAGUGGUUAAGGCGUUGGACUGCUAAUCCCAUGUGCUCUGCACGCGUGGGUUCGAAUCCAUCCUCGUCG